rnacentral:rRNA from 1 species
UACGUAGGGAGCAAGCGUUGUCCGGAAUCAUUGGGCGUAAAGCGCGCGUAGCGGCCCCGUAAGUCCGCUGUGAAAGUCAAAGGCUCAACCUUUGAAAGCCGGUGGAUACUGUGGGGCUAGAGUCCGGAAGAGGCGAGUGGAAUUCCUGGUGUAGCGGUGGAAUGCGCAGAUAUCAGGAGGAACACCAAUAGCGAAGGCAGCUCGCUGGGACGGUACUGACGCUAAGGCGCGAAAGCGUGGGGAGCGAACGAGG